AAACUUUUCUCCCUGGUGGAGCAACCACUUGCAUGAGCAUGAGAGGUUGUUCCCCAGGCCAUCAGACUCCAAACAGUCAUGCAACUGGAGCCUUUGAGGAUGACCCCUUCUGCCGGGGACCCUUAGGUCAGCCUCUAGAGAAGCUUUGACUGCUGUUUCCCCAAAACAGCGCCCCCUGCCAUCAGGAAGCAAGCUGAUCAAGGAGAGAAGAUUAGGCAUGGAUAUUCAGUUUAAAAUGGUAAAGAACCAUAAUAAUACCUACCUUGAAGUGAUGAUAUAAACUACAUGACACAGAGUACUUGCUUCACACAGUGUUGGAACACACAGAGCUGCCACCUGGAAAUCCCUGCUCAUCUAAGGGUUGCAUCUAGACUCUGGUAGAUUUGGGGAGGGUGGCAUUUGAGUUAUGUCCUUUCCCGAGCUGUCCCAUGCCACAGCUUGCUGCUCUGUUGUCUCCUGACAAUUGGUCUCCUUGCUGCUAUUUCCAGAAAGCUUCACACACUCCUCUCACUCCUCAGACCAUCUUUCACAUAAUAC
rnacentral:sRNA from 1 species